rnacentral:misc_RNA from 1 species
GAUGAAGAACGCAGUGAAAUGCGAUAAGUAAUGCGAAUUGCAGAAUUUCCGUGAGUCAUCGAGUCUUUGAACGCACAUUGCGCCCCCUGGUAUUCCGGGGGGCAUGCCUGUCCGAGCGUCAUUGCUGCCCUCAAGCACGGCUUGUGUGUUGGGCCCCGUCCUCCGAUCCCGGGGGACGGGCCCGAAAGGCAGCGGCGGCACCGCGUCCGGUCCUCGAGCGUAUGGGGCUUUGUCACCCGCUCUGUAGGCCCGGCCGGCGCUUGCCGAUCAACCCAAAUUUUUAUCCAGGUUGACCUCGGAUCAGGUAGGGAUACCCGCUGAACUUAAGCAUAUCAAUAAGCGGAGGA